AACCGCCGUAUACGGAACCGUACGUACGGUGGUGUGAGAGGUCGGGGGUUAGUCACCUCCUCCUACUCGAU
rfam:Bacillus shackletonii strain LMG 18435 super11, whole genome shotgun sequence.